UAGUCCACGCCGUAAACGAUGGAUACUAGCUGUUCGACAUUUAUGUUGAGUGGCUAAGCGAAAGUGAUAAGUAUCCCACCUGGGGAGUACGUUCGCAAGAAUGAAACUCAAAGGAAUUGACGGGGGGCCCGCACAAGCGGUGGAGCAUGUGGUUUAAUUCGAUGAUACGCGAGGAACCUUACCAGGGCUUAAAUGUAAGUUGCAUUAGCUAGAGAUAGUUAUUUCUUCGGACUACUUACAAGGUGCUGCAUGGUUGUCGUCAGCUCGUGCCGUGAGGUGUCAGGUUAAGUCCUAUAACGAGCGCAACCCCUGUUGUUAGUUGCCAGCGAUUCAAGUCGGGAACUCUAACAAGACUGCCAGUGCAAACUGUGAGGAAGGUGGGGAUGACGUCAAAUCAUCACGGCCCUUACGUCCUGGGCUACACACGUGCUACAAUGGUAGGUACAGAGAGCAGCCACUACGCGAGUAGGAGCGAAUCUAUAAAACCUAUCACAGUUCGGAUCGG
rnacentral:rRNA from 1 species